rnacentral:lncRNA from 1 species
UGCGGAAGCCGAAUAUAUAGAGAGUAAUGAAAUCACAACUGCUAUAUCUAAAGGUAGCUAAUAAAUAGUAAAUGAGACAACAAUAAAAAGAAAACCAGGAAUUAACGAGGUUCGGCAAACUUUUGUUUUCUUUUGCCUACUCCACGGACACAACCAACCAAUAUUUAUUUCACUCCAAAAGAGUACAAGUGAAAUACUACAAGAGAUAAAGAAGAUCAAAUGCCUUUGAAGAUGAGAAGGCAAGUGAGAGGUGUGUUACAAAUGAAUUAGGAACUACUUAUUUAUAGGAGUGAAUUCUUCCUAUUUAUGUCAUCCAUGAUAUCACAAUGUGUCAAAAUGUCAAGAUUUACCUUGUGAAACCAUUUUAUGGUUCACCUAAAUUUCACCUACAAAAGAUGUUAUCUUGACUUUUGUACCAAUGAAGAAUUAUCUUCCUAACUACCAAAUCUUCACAUUAAUUCAUCUUUGAAUCUUGUCAAAUUUAACAAAUCUCCACCUUGGCAAGAUUCUCCAUUUUCAACUUUCUCUCAACAACUUUUGAUUGUGUCUUCAACCUUAAUCUUCAAUGUUCAACAAUGUUGAUCAAGUUCAAACAAUGUUGAAACUUGACCGCAGUCACCACUUUGUCAGCAUAUCGGCAGGAUUAUCCAUAGUAUGGAUUUUCUUCACUAUGACUCCACCUUCUUUGAUGAUGUCUCAUAUGAAAUGAUAUCGGACGUCAAUAUGCUUCGUCCUUGCAUGAUAAACUUGGUUCUUCGGUAAUUGAAUAGCACUUUGACUAUCACAAAAUAUUGUGAUUCCUUCUUGUUCAAUACCAAGCUCUCUAAGCAAUCCUUGAAGCCAAAUUGCCUCUUUCGCAGCCUCUGUAAUUGCCAUAUACUCUGCCUCAGUGGUAGACAAAGCAACUGUUGACUGCAAAGUAGACUUCCAACUAACUGGUGCGUUUGCAAUAGUGAAAACAUAACCAGUAGUUGAUCUUCGUUUGUCCAAGUCACCUGCAUUAUCUAAGUCACAAUAUCCAACAAGAUAUUGACUAUCUUUAUGCUAAAAAACCAAGCCAACAUCUACAGUACUAUGAAUAUACAGUAGAAUCCAUUUUACAGCCUGCCAAUGAUCCUUUCCAAGAUUAUGCAUGUACAUGCUUACAACUCCAACAACGUGUGAAAUAUCUAGCCUUGUGCAAACCAUUGCAUACAUUAAGCUACCAACAACAUUCACAUAUGGUACUCUUGACAUAUAUUCUCGUGCAACUUCAUUCUUUAGUGACAUAGCAUCACUAAGCUUAAAAUGAGGAGCAAACAGAGUGCUAACCGACUUCGUCUUCUCAUUCAUGCCAAAUCGAUUUAGUACCCUUUUCAAAUAUUCUUUCUGAGAUAAAAAAAGCUUCUUUGAAUGUCGAUCUCUUUUUAUCUCCAUGCCAAGAAUCCUCUUUGCCUCACCCAAAUCCUUCAUCUCAAACUCCUUUUUUAGUUGAAUCUUUAGCUUCUCAAUUUCCUCUUGACUUUUAGAAGCUAUCAACAUAUCAUCAACAUAUAGGAGAAGAUAUAUAAAGGAAUCGUCUUCAAGCUUGCGCAAAUACACACAAUGAUCGUAUUUGCUUCUUAUGUACCUUUGCUGCAACAUAAACUUGUCAAAUCGUUUGUACCAUUGUCUAGAAGAUUGUUUCAAUCCAUACAACGAUUUUUCAAGUUUGCACACCAUAUUUUCUUUUCCAUCAACUUUGAAUCCUUCUGGCUGAGUCAUGUAGAUUUCCUCUUCCAAGUCUCCAUGUAAAGAUGCAGUUUUUACAUCCAACUGAACUAGUUCCAUAUUCAACUGUGCUACCAAAGCCAACAAAACUCUAAUGGAGGAGUGUUUCACAACUGGAGAAAAUACCUCAUUAUAGUCAAUUCCCUCAUUUUGAGCGUAUCCUUUGGCCACCAAUCUUGCUUUGUAGCGAACAUCUUCUUGGUUAGGAAAUCCUUCUUUCUUUGCAAAUACCCAUUUGCACCCAAUUGCUUUCUUGCCAUCCGGGAGAUUAGCCAAUUUCCAUGUAUGAUUCUGAUAAAGGGACUGUAUUUCUUCAUCCAUGGCAAACCUCCACUUAUCUUCUUCUGAACUUUGGACUGCAUCUUUAUAAGUGGUAGGAAUGUCAUCCGCUGAAAUUGAGUUCGCACAAACCACCACAUCUAUGAGUCGAGCAGGUUUUCUUAUUGUCCUUUUUGGCUUGCUGGUUGCUAUUGAUUCAAGUUGUGGUUGAGGUUCUUGAGAUGGAACCUCCCUUUCGACUGGCUCUUCUUCCAGAGGAAAAACUUUUGUUGUUUCCUCAUUUGAUCCAUGUGUUGGGAAAAUUAUCUUUCCCUCAAACUCCACCUGCUUUGAAGCACCAUCAGUUUGUUUGACUUCUUCAACUGCUACCUUAUUUGUCAAGGCAGAUUCAGCAAAGGUAACAUCCCUAUAAAGGUAACAUCUCUGCUGAAAAUAAUUUUUCUCGUCUCUGGACACCAUAAACGGUAUCCUUUGACUCCAGAAGUAAUCCCCAUAAAUAAAGCUUUCUUUGCUCUUGGGUCCAAUUUUGACUCUCUUACAUGAUAAUAUGCAAUUGAGCCAAAUACAUAUAAAGAACCAUAAUCUUCAGCAGGUUUUCCAUACCAUUUUUCUAAUGGUGUUUUCCCACCUAUAACAGCAGAUGGUAGACGAUUAAUGAGGUGGCAUGCAUAUGUUAUUGCCUCAACCCAAAAUUCUUUGCCCAAGCCAGCAUUGGACAACAUACACCGAACCUUCUCUAACAAAGUUCGGUUCAUGCAUUCUGCCACUCCAUUCUGUUGUGGUGUAUUUCUGACGGUGAAAUGUCUGACGAUGCCAUUUUCCUCACAAAUUUUCUGAAAAAUAUCAUUUUUGUAUUCUCCACCAUUGUCUGUGCGAAGACACUUGAUCUUUUUGCCACUUUGAGUUUCUAUCAUCGCCUUCCAUUUGAGAAAAAUUUCCAAUACUUCAUCUUUUGUUUUCAUCGUAUACACCCACAGUCUUCGGGAAAAGUCAUCAACAAAGAUUACAAAAUAGUGUUUCCCACCUAAUUAAGGUGUUUUGGAAGCACCCCAAACAUCUGAAUGAACAAAAUCCAAAAUACCUUAGUAUUAUGGAUAACCGUAUACACCCACAGUCUUCGGGAAAAGUCAUCAACAAAGAUUACAAAAUAGUGUUUCCCACCUAAUUAAGGUGUUUUGGAAGCACCCCAAACAUCUGAAUGAACAAAAUCCAAAAUACCUUAGUAUUAUGGAUAACUGUUCCAAAUUUAACCCUUGUUUGCUUUCCCUUGACACAAUGCUCACAAAACUUCAAGUUGCAAGUUUUUACUCCUUUUAGAAAUCCUUGAUCUGAUAGAGUUUUCAAGGAUUUUCCUCCAGCAUGUCCCAAACGCAUAUGCCACAGCCUGGUCAUUUCUGCCUCCUUGUCGUCAUUGGAUGUUGUUACUGCUGUCCCAAUAACUGUACUACCUUGAUAGUGGUACAUGUUAUUAUUUCUUCGAAUUGCCUUCAUUACCACCAGCGCACCGGAGCAUAUUCUCAUUACGCCAUUAUCUGCAAUGACUUUGAAUCCAUUUGACUCUAGGGCUCCAACAGAAAUGAGAUUCUUCUUCAAAUCCGGUACAUACCGAACAUCUGUUAAUGUUCUGGUCAAUCCAUCAUGAUUCCUUAAUUGAAUUGAACCAACACCAUAUGCGGUAAGAGGAUUAUUGUUUGCGGUGUGAAUAACUCCACAUUCUCCUUCUUGUAAAUCAACAAACCAGUCCCUAUUGGGACACAUAUGAUAGUUACAAGCUGAGUCCAUUAACCAUACAUAAGAUGAUUUGGAUAGAUCUGUUGUAACUAGUGAGUAAUUGGAGUCAUCACAAUCAACCACAUUUGAAUCCAUGACAGCCUUCCAAUUAUUUGGUUUGGCUUUGCUUUUCAACUUUGGGCAGUCUUUCUUCCAGUGCCUUUUUUCUCGGCAAAAGGCACAUUCAUCUUUGCUGAGUUUGGAUCUUGACUUGGAUCUCCCAUUCUUUGUUCUCACAUGAUUUUGAGAACGACCUCUCACAAUCAGAGCUUCUGCUUCUCCGCCAUUUUGUUUUUCUCUCUUUCUUUGUUCAUAACUAUAUAAGGCAGAACAAACUUCUUUGAGAGAUACUUCAUCAUUCCCAUGCAGCAGAGUAGUUUCAAGUUGCUCGAACUCAUCAGGAAGUGAACUUAAUAACACUAAGGCCAUAUCUCCAUCCGUAAAAGUCACGUCCAUAUUUCGCAAAUCUGUCGCCAACUUAUUAAAGCUGGUGAUAUGAUCAUUCACUGUGCUACCAGGAAUAUAAGUGAAGCGUAACAGUCUUCUUUUCAUGUAAAGUUUAUUUUGACUGUUUUUCUUCGAGAAUUUCUCCUCCAAUGAAUUCCAUAAUUUAUUUGCAGAUGUUUCCUUUGUGUAUGGAUACUUUUGUUCUCUUGCUAGGUAAGAUCGAAUGGUAACCGCAAGCAACACGGUUGAUAAUCUUCCAAUCUUCUUCUCCUACACCGUCUGGUUUCUUUCUUUUAUGGCAAUAUCUAGCCCUUGUUGAAAAAGAACAUCAAGGACCUCGCCUUGCCACAUUCCGAAAUGUCCUGAUCCGUCAAAAAUUUCAAUUGCAAAUUUUGCAUUUGACACAAUUUGUGUCAUAAGUGAAGAUGCCAAUGAUGACGUAUUAUUGAGAUUCGAUGUGGACUCAUCAUUUUUAUUGUCUCCCAUUUUUGCUACAAAUACUAUUUACUAGCUAACAAUGCAAAGAUCAAAGUAAAUCUUUUAUGAUGUGGAAGUUCAGACUGUGCUGCAACCACAGAGCAUACUCAGAUAAUACCUUGGCUCUGAUACCAAUUGUUGCGGAAGCCGAAUAUAUAGAGAGUGAUGAAAUCACAAAUGCUAUAUCUAAAGGUAGCUAAUAAAUAGUAGAUGAGACAACAAUAAAAAAAACACCAGGAAUUAACGAGGUUCGACAAACUUUUGUUUUCUUUUGCCUACUCCUCGGACACAACCAACCAAUAUUUAUUUCACUCCAAAAGAGUACAAGUGAAAUACUACGAGAGAGAAAGAAUAUCAAAUGCCUUUGAAGAUGAG